AGUGGAAUCACUGUGUUAGAUGGUAACUCUAUGUUUAUCUUUCCAAGGAACUACCAGAUUGUCUUCCAAAGAUGCUGUACCAUCUUACAUUUCCACUAGCAAU
rnacentral:pre_miRNA from 1 species